rnacentral:sRNA from 1 species
CUCCGUACGGGGAAGGAUGAGAAGCUUCGACUAAGGUUCGAUUCGAGCGAAAGCGAGAGAACGUUGCCAACGGCAACGGCCCGAAGGGCGAAGCGCGCAGCGCUGAGUCAUCCUUCCCCCACCACCA